GAGAAAGGGAGUGGGAGAGAAACUGGCCAAUUGCAGCAGUAGAGAGAUGCGCUGACUCCUGGCUUUAUGAACUCAGUGAUUCAUUGUACAGACACAUGACUUGUUUGGAAACAACUGAAAAGUGUACACAUGAGCUCUUGCAAGCAACUAAAAAUAAUAAUAAUAAUAAUAGCCAUAUAAAAUCAGUCGGUAAAUACAGAUUAUGUUAUGUAAUAUUCGAAGUUAUUUCGGAAUGAUGAUGUUCACUCUGUUGUCAUAGAUGUGCUGCAUGUGGGGUGGUGUGUUGUGCUGAAGGUUAGGGUUGUGGUGGUGUGUUGUGCUGAAGGUUGGUGUUGUGGAGGUGUGUUGUGCUGUAGUUAAGGGUUGUGGAGGUGUGUUGUGCUGAAGGUUGGUGUUGUGGCGGUGUUUUGGGCUGUAGGUUAGAGUUGUGAGGUGGGGCUUGAAUAGCCCCCCUUGUUCAAAGUGGGGAAUGACAGAAAAAGUUUAAGAACCACUGCGGUAGUUGAAGAUGGAGAGAGCUGAGGGAUUGUUGGGCGGAAAGUCUCUGUUUAAGAGUCAAAAUGACGGAACAAUCGACAAAACUAAAGUUGUAUGUAGCAUUUGUCAAGCUGAAUUUAGGGGAGCGUGCCUAUGUUCCCACAGCCCAAUGUUCCCACAGCCCUAUGUUCCCACAGCCCUAUGUUCCCACAUUUCUAAGAGCUUUUUCAAAAUUAGGUCUUAUGUUCCCACAUUUCUAAUAUUCAUUACAAAAUUAGGGCCUAUGUUCCUACAGUUCAUCUAAUCCUAACCCUAACCCUAACCUAUAACCCUAAAUAAUAACCCUAACCCGCGGGCGGGUCCGUGAUUUUUUUCAAAAUGGCGAUUUUUGUACUUUUUUUUUGCAACAUGAACUUGCAAAUCGACUGUAUAAUUGUGGAGGAAUUGAUCAUUUACUUUAGGCAUGCAUUUGAAGGUGUUUUUGUCCCGAAAACGGCUGGGGCUUAACAGGAAAUGUGGGACCAUAGGGUUUAAUUUUCAGAAAAAUCUAGAAAUGUGGGAACAUCGGGACUAAUUUUUCAAAAUAAAUCUGGGAACAUAGAUCUGUGGGAACAUAGGGCCUAAUUUUCAAAAUUCUCAGUGAAAAAAAAAUCCUUAGAAAUGUGGGAACAUAGGGCUGUGGGAACAUAGGCCUGACCCCGAAUUUAGCUAUCACAGAAGCAGCUUGUCUUGAAGUUAUCACCUUAAUGCAAAGCACCCGACAGAAAGCAGUCCCAGGUUAGAUGAUCGCCAACCCACACUCCAUGACUUCUCUAGGAAAAUAACUAGACCAGUCCGUGAAAAGGUUACCAUUUGGGUUGCCGGUGACUGUCGGCCCAUCAACAUAGUUGAGGACAGUGGGCUGAUUGAGGUGAUUCGAAUUGCUUCAGGGGAAAUUCUUACGAUUUACAGUCGAGGGGCACCAUUGUGUUUAAAAAAAAUACAAUUAAACAACAGUUUCUAAAAUACACGCUGUCUGAAGUGAUUACUUGUUUAUUUAUAAGAAGAAAAACAAACUUUUAAUCGUGAUUAAUCGGUUACAUCACAUUAACAGUACAUCCACAUAUCCACAAUCAUACAUCCACAUAUCCGCAUACAUACAUAGGGAGCGUGUGGCAAAGUGUCUCUUUUUGCAUUAUGUAAAAGUGCCAAAACCCUUUUUAUUGUAAAGAGCAGGGUAUACAUAUAUAUAUAUAUAUAUAUUAGGGCUGUCAAUCGAUUAAAAAAAUUAACUAAUUAAUCGCACAUUAACUCUCUCCAUCUUCAACUACCGC
ensembl:lncRNA